CUUUAUAUUAAAAAAAUAAAAUUGAUGCAGUAUAGCGCUGCAACCUAUCUAUAUAAGUUUAUCCCAAAUCAAGAAGUGAAUGAUUCUAUGUGCGUGUAACUGUGUUCAUCAUACCACAGUGUAACAAGUUCAUAAUCCCAACUCUAGCUCCAUCUUCAAUGGCCAAUGCAAUCUCUCCGCCCAAUUUAUUCCAGAAAGUUGUUCUUAAAUACCCUAUACACAGAGCCUUCGACAUUACCAUCUUCUUCCUUCUCGUAUCUCUCCUCGUUUAUCGUCUUCUCUAUCUCAGCAACCAUGGAUUUGCUUGGGUUCUCGCUCUCCUAUGUGAGUCAUGCUUUACCUUCAUCUGGGUUGUCACUGUCAGUUGCAAAUGGAAUCCAGUGGAAUACAAAACAUACCCAGAACGACUUUCACAAAAGGCACAAGAUCUUCCUCCUGUGGAUAUGUUUGUGACAAGUGCAGACCCGGUGCUAGAACCGUCAAUACUCACUGUAAACACAGUCAUAUCCUUAUUGGCAGUUGACUAUCCAGCAGAUAAACUAGCUUGCUAUGUAUCGGAUGAUGGUUGCUCCCCUAUAACCUAUUAUUCUCUUGUUGAAGCAUCCAAGUUUGCUAAGAUUUGGGUUCCAUUUUGCAAGAAGUAUAACAUUCAAACUAGAGCUCCUUUCAGAUACUUUUCCAGUGAGCUCAUUUUAACCGGCAGUUGUAAUUCCUUGGAAUUCCAGCAAGAAUACAACAAGAUGAAGGAUGAGUAUGAGGAGCUUGCCUCCAAAAUCAAAGAUGCAGUCGAAAAAUCCAUGGAGUGGGAUCAAAUCGGUGAUUUUGCCAUCUUCUCGAAUAUAGAGCGCAAAAACCACCCGACUAUAAUCAAGGUUAUAAGGGAGAAUGAGGCUGGACUUUCAGAUGCGUUGCCGCAUUUAAUUUACAUAUCAAGAGAGAAGAGGCCAAAGCAUCCAAAUCGCUAUAAAGCAGGUGCCAUGAACGUAUUGACCAGAGUCUCUGGAUUGAUAACAAAUGCUCCAUUCAUGUUGAACGUGGACUGCGAUAUGUUCGUCAACAAUCCACAGAUUUUUCUCCAUGCAAUGUGUCUUUUACUUGGUUCCAAGAAUGAAAGGGAAAGCGGGUUUGUUCAGUGUCCACAAUAUUUCUAUGAUGGACUAAAGGAUGAUCCAUUUGGGAACCAGUUCGUGGUUGGGCACAAAUUCAUGGGGAAUGGAGUAGCUGGGAUUCAAGGACCUUUUUAUGGAGGAACAGGAUGUUUUCACAGAAGAAAAGUCAUUUAUGGUUCAUGUCCCGAUGACAUAGGAAAUCAAGCAAAACGUCUCACUCCAGUUCAUGGUGGUUUAUCAUACAAGGAGCAGCUAAGAAUAUUUGGCGAUUCAAAGGAGUUUAUCAGAUCAGCUGCUCAUGCACUACAAGGGAAGGAAAAUAUCAGUCCUAAAAAUCUUCCAAACUUAGUUGAGGCAGCACACCAGGUUGCUGGUUGUGGCUACGAGUACGGUACUAGCUGGGGGACAGAGGUGGGUUGGCAAUAUGGAUCCGCAACAGAAGACGUCCUCACUGGAUUGAUGAUCCAUGCUAGGGGCUGGAGGUCCCUUCUUUGCACGCCGGAUCCUCGUGCCUUUUUGGGGUGUGCCCCUCGUGGCGGACCGAUCUCGAUGACCCAGCAAAAGAGGUGGGCAACAGGUUUUCUUGAAAUAUUGAUCAGCAGAAGAAGCCCCAUUAUUGCCACAGUUACUGCCAAACUCCAGUUUAGACAGUGUUUGGCGUAUCUCUCGUUGCUUACUUGGGGGUUACGCUCUAUUCCUGAGCUUUGCUCCGCGGUGUUGCCAGCUUAUUGUACCAUCACCGACUCGAGUUUCCUGCCCGAGGUGCAUGAGCCAGCCAUAUAUAUUUACAUGGCCCUUUUCCUGAGUUACGUCAUCUACACUCUAAUAGAGUACCUCGAAACUGGAUUGUCAAUCCGUGCAUGGUGGAAUAACCAAAGGAUGGCAAGAAUAAAUGCAAUGAAUGCAUGGUUAUUUGGAUUUAUAAGUGUAAUCUUGAAGGUUUUAAGAAUAUCAGAUACAGUUUUUGAAGUUACACAAAAAGACCAAUCUUCAAGUAAUGAUGGCGAUGAAGGCAGGUUCACCUUCGAUGCUUCGCUGCUUUUUGUGCCUGGGACAACCGUUCUGCUGCUGCAACUCACGGCAUUGAUCAUGGGAUUCCGAGGCAUGCAACUAUCAGUUAACGAUGGCUCAGGGCUGGGAGAGAGAUUGUGUAGCAUAAUGGUGGUCAUAUGCUUCUGGCCAUUUCUGAAAGGCCUGUUUGCAAAAGGAAAAUAUGGGAUUCCUCUGUCCACAAUAUUCAAGUCAGCUUUUUUGGCAUUAUGUUUUGUGCUCUUGGCCAAGCGUGCAUGAUCAAUGGGUCAAGCCUAAUGUUUACCCACAUGAUGCAUCGAUUUAUGGCGUGGAGGAAAUGUGGAACUUAUUAAAGUCGAUGGUGUGGAAGGAUUGCAAUAACAUGUUAAACUUUGUCGAGGACCUUUUUAUGGAGGAACAGGAUGUUUUUCACAGAAGAAAAGUCAUUUAUGGUUCAUGUCCCGAUCGAUGACAGGAAAUCAAGCAAAACGUUAACGUCUCACUCCAGUUCAUGGUGAUUUAUCAUACGAGGAGCAGCUAAGAAUAUUCGGCGAUUCAAAGGAGUUUAUCAGCUCAGCUGCCCAUGCAUGACAAGGAAAGGAAAAUAUUGGUCCUAAAAAUCUUCCAAACUUAGUUGAGGCAGCACACCAAGUUGCAGCUUGUGGCUACGAGGACGAUACAAGCUGGGGCACAGAGGUUAGUGGAGGUUAGUGGGAACAAAAAUUGAAGGGUUUAAUUGCUAAGUAUAUAAUACUAUGUAUUUUACUUGAUAAUGUUUUUUCAAAUAAAUAAAUAUGCUAGCUUUUUUAA